GCGUCACCAAUAUUACCAGAGUCCUCAUCCGGUGAGAAUGAGAUCGUGCUUAAUCAGGAAUAUUCCGUCAGUAAAAGAAGAAGAUUGGGAUUAGAACACGAAUUAAACAGACAAACAGUCUCUGCCACCAUCUAUAAAUCCGACCCGCACCCAACCCCCCUCCCCACAACCCCCACCACCGAAAACAAUCACAGAAAAACUCGAAAAAGCUCCAGGCUCCAUCUCGAG
rnacentral:lncRNA from 1 species